rnacentral:lncRNA from 1 species
AUGCAGAAUUACAAAUAAUUUAUGUAGUCACUCUACCUUCAGGGAACAUAACUCCUCAUUCCUUAAGUGGGGGCUGCACAUAGUGAUUUCCUUCCAAAGCACAGAGUAUGGAUGGCGGUGGAGGAAAGAGUAACUUGACAGUGGAAAUCAAGGUCAACAUCAAUGGUCAUAAGUCAUGUUGAUACCCUUGGUAUGAUGUAACAAAAAUGGUACUCUGCCUCCUUGGUCUCCAUCUAGUGAUGCUUCCGUCUCCAUAGAGAACUUCCAGAACGCCCAUGGAAGAGAGAGCAUUGCGAUUCAUCCUUGCUCUUCAAUGCCUCAGAAGGGAAGUGAUGCCUGCCAUUUUCUCUUAGGACCCAUUGCCAAAACUAGUCACAUGGUCCCAGCCUAACCAAACAGGAAAUGAGAAAUGCCAGGGAGCCCACAGAGAAGCCAGUGAGCAGUACUCUUUCUGCAUCUUUGGGUUUUGGAAGCAGAAGAAAUGGAUCUUGUGUCUGACCAGCUUCUGAAACUGGCACGUGAACCCAAAGACAAAUAAUUCAGUCCAAAAGCCAGAGGGGUUGAGGGCCCACGCAAGGAAGGUGCAUCUAGAGCGCAAAGUGGCUUUCGAGAGAGGACCUGGAUCCCACGUGAAGAAGCAGAGACGAGAGUCCCCAAAGCGCAGGACACUGAUCCACCGGGGAUGGCCCCCCUGCAGGGCUUUUGGCCUAGCCUCCUGCAUCCUCUCCUAAAAAGAGGGCACCGAAAAAAGACAGUAGGUAUCAUAAGUCUAUUUUCUCUUUUUCUCUAAUAUAUGUGUUCAGCUGUUCUCAUUUAUUCUGUUUGUUCCCACAACUAACGCAAGUUCACCAUGGAAAAUUUUUAAAAAUAUACAGAUGAGUCAAAAGGGAAAAAGAAUCUGUUA